GAGGAAGAACGCAGCGAAAUGCGAUAAGUAAUGUGAAUUGCAGAAUUCAGUGAAUCAUCGAAUCUUUGAACGCACAUUGCGCCCGCCAGUAUUCUGGCGGGCAUGCCUGUCCGAGCGUCAUUUCAACCCUCGAACCCCUCCGGGGGGUCGGCGUUGGGGAUCGGCCCUUUCACCGGGUGCCGGCCCCUAAAUACAGUGGCGGUCUCGCCGCAGCCUCUCAUGCGCAGUAGUUUGCACACUCGCACCGGGAGCGCGGCGCGUCCUCGUCCGUAAAACACCCCAAACUUCUGAAAUGUUGACCUCGGAUCAGGUAGGAAUACCCGCUGAACAUACGCAUAUCAAUAAGCGGAGGA
rnacentral:misc_RNA from 1 species